AAAACAUAGCCCUAAGAAUUUAUUUAGGGUGGAGCCUGCCCAGUGAUAUUUUUUAAAUGGCCGCGGUACUCUGACCGUGCUAAGGUAGCAUAAUCAAUUGACUUUUAAAUGGAGUCUGGAAUGAAAGGAAAAACGGAAUCUAGCUGUCUCACUAUUAAUAUUUUGAAGUUACUAAUUAGGUGAAAAGGCCUAAAAUUAGACAAAAGACGAGAAGACCCUAAGAGUUUUCUAUUUUUAUUUGGUUGGGGCGACCAGGAGUCAGAUUAAACACUCCUAUUUAUAUAUGACGGUACUUACAUGAAUAAACAAACUACCUUAGGGAUAACAGCAUAAUCUAAAUUAGGUUUGUGACCUCGAUGUUGGACUAGGGCAUUUUACGGCUAGCAGCCGUAAAAUACGAUUCUGUUCGAAUCUUUAUAUACCUACGUGAUCU
rnacentral:rRNA from 1 species